UCUUUUGUUUGUUGGCGUCCUGUUUUUCGGAGCCCAUGCCAUUUCCUCUCCGUGCAACGUCUCGUCUUGUUUCCGGUUUUGGUUUAUUCAAGGUUUUCUUUUGUCACUUUAGUUAUUAAUUAUUGGACUCUGUUUAGGUUGGCAUUUCUGACCAGGGAAUAUCAUUUUUUUGAGACUCUUUGGGUCCUGCGCUCGGGUCCUUCAGAAUCUGAAUCAGGCCAAGUGUGUAACAACACAAGGAAUUUUUGUCCGGAAGUCGGUGCUGCCUUGGUACGACGUACAGAACAAAGAACAAGGAACAACACAGCAACAAGAGCAAGAAACACUUCUGUUUAUAGGAACUCUUCCUUAUGAAUGGGCGAUGACCGUGGUGUCAUUUGCGAACUUCUGGAGUUUGGCAGUCGAUCGUGUAGAGCGAGAAGAGCAGAGGGGAGAGGACGCAACCUUGGGGUGCCCCAGUGCUGAUAGUGCCCGUGGAUGAGGUGGGUGUCCCCCAGCACUCUCCUUCUGCAUCCUGCCCCGUCAGGAAGUUGUAAAUUCGCCGGGAGGUGGCAGGCGAGACGCUGAGCUGGAGAAGUUUGGAGGAGUUCAGGGAUGAUGGCGUUGAACGCAGAGCUGAAGUCCACGAACAGGAUCCGCGCAUAGACUCGAGCGGUGUUUCUUUUCCCUUCGAAGAGGAAACGUUUGACGGAGGCGAUUCCAAACACGGAACAGCCCCCCCCAGGCACCCCAGGGGAAGCAGCUUCAGCAGGGGAUACCCAGACUUCCCUUUCCCCAGCCACUUCUUCCAGCUCUUCCGGAGGGAUCCCGAGGUGUUCCCGGACCAGCCGAGAGGCGUAGUCUCUCCCUGGGUCGUCUCCGCGGUCUCUUUCUGGUGGGACAUGACCCAGAACACCUCACCUGGGAGGGGUCCGAAUCAGAUGCCCCAGCCACCUCAUCUGGCUCCUCUCAAUGGGGAGGAGCAGCGGGUCGAGACUGAGCCCCUCCCUGAUGACCGAGCUUCUCACGCAUUCUCUCAGGGAAAGCCCGGACACCCUGGGGUGGAAACUCAUUUCAGCCGCUUGUAUAUGUUACAUAAAUGUAAUAUUUAGGCUCCAGCUCACCCCCAAAUGAGGUAAGAGGGGGGAAAAAAGUUUGGACAUUUCUACGAGUUGAUAUGAAAGAUGGGAAAAUAACAAAGCUUGCACAUUCCAGAAGGGGGAAACCAAACAAACAAAAUCAAAACUUGUUUUGAGUAAUAUUAAUGCCUUUUUGCUUUUUUUUUUUUUUUUUUUUUUAUAAGACAAAGAAAAAAAAAAAAAAAAGGAUUACGAUGGGAUUUUUGUGAAAAGAAUCUCAAGAUUUUCUUAUUUUGCUGUGGAAGAUGGAUGGAUGGCUGCCGCGGGCCUCCCAGUGCGGCGCUUGUCUCCGCCAUUCGUGUUGUCUCAAUUUGGUGCCGCGGCAGCGCCGCCAUGUUUCCCCGCAACACGUUUGACUCGAUUUGCUUUUGCACACCAGGAAGCCGACGUGAUGAAAGGUGACGCUUAUGACAGGCAAACUAAAGGUGGCAGACUGCGACGGAGCUGCACUCAAGAUCAAACUCCGCAAAAAGCAACUUGUGGAAGCGGAUUUUUUGUUUUUGUUUUGUUUUGACGCGGAUGCGUUGCGAUCGUCUUCGGCACGUCGCUCCGUCCCCCGCAUCCCCACCCCCACCCCCACCCCAAGGGGGCUUCGCGUGUCGCUUUGUUGAUCUAUUUCGGUCGCGGCUGUGCGGCGAUGUAAGCAGAAAUGACGAUUUGGCGGCGCGAGAGACGAGAGGGGCCCGGGCGGAUCGAUAACCUCGUCAAACCCCGAUCACGUUCGACGUGUUGUGUCAUUGAGUUCUGUUCAAAUGUCACGGCGUCGCAAACGUGAAUUGAUAUUCUGUAUGAAAGGCAGUGAAUACAAUGAGGCCUUCACUUCAAAUCAACUUUCCCCAUUGAAAUGAAUGGAAAUGCUUUUAAUCUGUUCCCCCCCCCCACCUCGAAAAACACUAAGUCAUGUAUUUAAUGUUUAAUAAUUAAGAAACCUCAUAAUAAACAUGUACAUUUUUAUUUGU